ACACGCUUUGUCUCUGUACCAGUGCAGGCAAGAAGAACUGGGUCGCAGGAAACAUCAUACACGUUGUAGCAGGCAGGACACUUAAUGCCAUUGGGUACUGAGGAUUCCUGAGGCACUGAAUGAAGAAAGAAAAUUUUCAUCUCAAAGAAUCUGAUGAAGCACCUUGAGUGCUUUCUGAGUGCUGAAGAAGCCUUGCACCCCGGGGAUAAAGCCCACCGGGUCAUCAUCUGAAGAAGCACAUGGAGUGCUCUCCGAGUGCUGAAGCAGCCUUGCACCCCGGGGAUAA